rnacentral:lncRNA from 1 species
GUAACCUAGAUUGGAUUGGAUGCAACUUCGUGAGUGGUUUUUUUCUUUGCUUUAUUUUUUUUGCUUUUCGUGGAUGAUUGCUAACCUAACCUAAGUUCGUCUGUGAAUCUAUGAAUGUAGUGGUUUUCCCCUAUUGCGACGACGAUCAUUCUGUAUCUUUUUACUAUGCUAGAGGGUUGAAGUAGCCAGAUAACCUAUCGUGUGGCAUCUUUGCACUGAAUUUUCUUCAAUGUUGGUGCACUGAAAU